ACAAAUGAUCUAAAUAUCUCAGGGCCUUGCAUAAGACCUAGUGAACAAUUUUUGGAGACCCUAUUCUCAGGAAUAGGGUG
rnacentral:snRNA from 1 species